rnacentral:lncRNA from 1 species
AAAGUUACAGCAGUGGAGGUCAAAAAUGCUACUUUAGCCGAAGAUACGGUCUGACCAAAAAGUAAGACUAGGAAUGUGUAAUUCAUAGGUACCCGUGGGACAUGAUGGCCUCAAGACCAUUAUUCUGGUUUGCUGCGGUAUACGAAGUCAUGCUAAUUUAUCACACGAUUCACAUAUGCUCUUGUGCGGACUUGAUGUUUAUGCACUUCAUGAUAACUGCCAGUGAGAGAUUCAAUACUCUCGGGAAAUAUUUGAUGAGAGGUGUGCCUGCGGCAUAUCAAGUGGAAAUCGCGUGUUCAGAGAGAAUAAAUAAUAAUUUACUACUGAUGCAGAAUCAUAUUUUUGAUGACAGACUUAAAAAUCUAGAGGAGGGAAGGCUGAAGAAAGGCAUCGAUGACUAUAACGUUCUUUGGAGGCAUUUGAAUAAUAUUAAGUCCAUAUUUAUGCAAUGGGCCAAUUUCUCAGUUCUGGCUGGAAUGACUACUAUUACAAUGAUGACAUUCGCUGCACUCACUGUGAGUUUUUCAGUGUACAUUUGCUAAAAAUAUACAGACGCAACAUGAUUAGGUUUGAUGUGCUUGCAUUAAACGGGAGUCCGCCUGCGGGCCGAUUAUUGAAACUGACAGACAAAGCGAUAGACAAAGAAGACAUAGGGAGUAUAGAGCGAUCCUAUUGGUUGACAUGGUUGGUUCUUAUAGACUAAGGAAGAAAAUGAUGGACUAACUGUCGGGUCUUUGGUGGGUUGCCGUUAGUUAGUCCAUUACCUACCUCCUGUGUCCAUUGCCACCACCCGCUCCCACCAAUAGGAUCCCUCCAAAUCCCUUUUGUCGUCUUUGUCCAUAACUUUGUCUAUAAGUUUCAAUAAUCGGUCCG